ACUUUUUAACUUUAUUAUUGAUACUAAAAUCUUGGUAUUUCGAGAUAAUUAGAGAACAUUAAAAAUUUAAAAAAUUUUGUCGUUAUUUUAUCUACAUAGUUAAUGUUUUACAUUUAUUGUCAAUAAAUAAAUUAAUAAAAACAUAUCACAUGCUCUUUCCCGAUUUAUUCUAAGAACACAUGGCAACACUGUUAGGCCUUCAUUUCCUUGUAUCUGUAGCUAACUUCUCGGACCCCGCAAUUUAAUGAAGUCCAAAAAUUAUUGUUCGCGAAUAUUCAAUUUGGAAUGCGAUUUUGUUAAUAAAAAAAAUACUUAUAACUUAUGCAAAACCCAAGAGAGGCAUUUAUAUUUACAUAUUUCUUUUGCGUUCAUUUUCAAAUUCGCCGUGCAUAUAUUUUUGUGCAUGGCGCUUGAGAGGGCAUCACGUGACUAAAAACGACCAACCAACGACCUCGCUUCGGCCAUCUUGGCAUCUUCAUCUUGGCGACCUUGCCUUACCGUGGAUUGUUUUUAGUUGUUUGUAUUAUUUGUGCUUUUUAAGAAUAUUUUUUUAAUUCGGAUACUUUUAUAAUAGCUUUAAUAGUAUUAUUAACAUAGUGCAUAAAAUGGUGUCCUGUUUUUAACGCAGUUGGAGUAGCAGAAACAAAUGUAGAUAAAAAAAUCUGCAGGAAUAACCUUUCAAUUAUGACAGAAGCUCAAAACAAAUGACUGUGAAUGAAAAGCCCUAUUAAAAGCUUUCCAGAAGAUCCUGCGAAGAAGACAUGAAGUAUAGAUCAGAUUUGUUAAUAGAGGAGUAUGUUCAAAACACUUUUUAGAAAAAGAUAUUGACAGAACUUCACUUUCAUCUGUUCGUUUGAGAGACUGUGCUGUUCCAAUAGCUUAUGUCACACAGAAUCAGCUGAGAGAAGUGGUCUACAAAAAACCAGAAAGGAAACUGAAUAUGUGGCUACGAAAAGCAAAAGAAAGGUUUACAAAGCAAAUGUGACACAUUUUUUUAUAAUAUUUAGGAAUGUCAGCAAAUUACAUUAAAAAAUGUAUGUAAAGAUUUUUUGCAAUAAAAAUGUUUAUAUUUAUCAAGGAUGUAUUAU